AGUAUAAACAGAGUCUCCAGAAUGCAUUGAGAUUUUGCUACAUAUGAAAUCUUCUGGUGAAAUGCAACACUUCACUGGGGAAGUUAACUCUCAGUGGGAUGAUGAAGCCAAGCUUUACUAUUAAAUUCAGUGCUGUAUUGCCCCCUUAUAUGCUUAGACAUUGUACUUGCUUUAUGUAUUUUCUUUUGCUGGAGAGAUUUUGUACAGGUUGUAAUGGCAUCUAGGUUUCUGUGUAAGACCUUUUUUAAGGGAUCUCUCUUCUACAUUCUUUUAUUUUUAAAUUCUUAGAAUAUGAAGAAAAGAAGAAUUGUCCAUGACUAAGGGGUACAGUCUCUACUGCCCAACUUCCCUAUCUGAAACUUGAAACUUGCAGUCCAGCUGUUUUCCCAGAGUCUAGUCCUUGUACUUUAGCUUCAUCUUAGUGCAUCGUUUUACCAGAAUUUCAGAAAAAGUUUGCAUUUUGCCUUUUCAAGAGGCAAGACUUGAAGGAUAUGUUUAAACAUACAGGGAAAAAGUCCUAAGCCUAUGAAUCCAUCAUUAUUUAAAUAAAGAUAAAGCAAGGACAUGCAGAACUUCAGAGAAACAAACCUAAUACUCAAAAAGAUCUCAAGUACUAGACCUUCCUCUCUUGUGGAACUAUACCAUUCAAAGCUGCAAAGGGUCCUCAGCCUUUUCAUCUGAGUAUUUAUAGGUGAAUGUAUUCUAAACAAUGAUUGAAAAAUGUUGUUUACUUGACACAGUUCCAUUGUGUGUCUGUGGUAUUUUUUUACUCAGUUUUCAGUCAGUAGUAACUUCUCAUAACUUGCUAUAGAAGCAAAGUAGUCUUUGAAUCUUGUCCCAAUCUUCCUAAAUCUUCCUGCACUAAAAUGGUGAGCAUCAGAUACUAUGUCUCUGUGUAAAGACUGCAGUCUAAACACUUUGGUUACCCUGCUUGCACAGCAUUUUGUACUACUAUCAGGCUACACUUGUUUAUCUCCCAUUUGAGUAGCAUCAAAAAGAGCUCCUGAUUGUCCUGAUGUGGAGGGAAGAGGAGAAGGUACAAAAAAAAAAAAAAAAAAAAAGUGGAUGC